rnacentral:rRNA from 1 species
CCUACGGGUGGCAGCAGUGGGGAAUAUUGCACAAUGGGGGAAACCCUGAUGCAGCGACGCCGCGUGCGUGAAGAAGUAUUUCGGUAUGUAAAGCUCUAUCAGCAGGGACGAAGAAAGAUGGUACCUGACUAAGAAGCACCGGCUAACUCCGUGCCAGCAGCCGCGGUAACACGUAGGGGGCACGCGUUAUCCGGAUUUACUGGGUGUAAAGGGAGCGUAGGCGGCUUUGCAAGUCUGAAGUGAAAGCCCAGGGCUCAACCCUGGAACUGCUUUGGAAAUUGUGGAGCUAGAGUGCUGGAGAGGUAAGUGGAAUGCCUGGUGUAGCGGUGAAAUGCGUAGAUAUGAGGAGGAACACCAGUGGCGAAGGCGGCUUACUGGACAGUAACUGACGUUGAGGCUCGAAAGCGUGGGGAGCAAACAGGAUUAGAUACCCGUGUAGUC